AAAAAAAGGAAAUUAUUAUUUUCUACGUUUUGGCGUAUUUGUCAAGUAAAUGAACAUUCGUUAGCUACGCAGAUUUGCAAAUCUCUGACCCUUUGCCCAGUUGAUGCCACCAGUGUAGUGUCAAUUCCAAAAAGGAAUGCCCAAAAAUUCUCUGCCAAUAACGAUGUCGUUUGACGGAUUUCCUCCUUUCAUCUCUGCUCAGCUUCAGUACCUCCUCACCCAUUAUCCUCACGCAAUCAAGAUUGACCAGGUGUGCUCAGGUAGCAAGUAUUUCCCUGCAAGUCUUGAUCGUUUUACGUUGCUCAUCCCUUAUUGCCUGGACUAUCUCCGAUGGGAUAUUAUAUACAAUGUAGAAUUUCCACUUGCUGCCCCGGAUGUUAUAUUUGGACCUGAAGACGAAGAUUUCCAUCCAUUUCUUGUACCGGGUGGUGAGAGUGGAGAUUUAAGGUUAGUCAAGAACAGUUUGACUGAUUGGAACAGCAAAGAUCCAACAAGUCUGUUGGCUAUUGUUGAGGAAUUGAGGGAUAAAUACAAGUCCUACCAAAAGAGGCUUGUUGGAGAAGUUGAUGAUGAUCGAUUGAAGUUUGAAAUUAGCACUAUCUUAUCUAGGGAGGUACUUUUCACUAAAUGCUAACCUUUUUUUUGCAAGAAGGGGAUGUUCAACUUUGUUUUUUAAUGAAUGCUUGUUAAUUAUUUUGCUGGAUACACUCGCUUAUGUACUCUUUUUAUGAAUUCAGUUCUCAUUGUUUGAAACUACUCCUUUAUUUAUCAAAUAGUCAAAUAUCAUAAUGGGGAAUUAAUUCUUCUGUUGGCUUUUGGAAAUGAUCAGUUCUCAGCAUAGACAUUUUCAUAAAAUUUCUGUUUGAUUAUUUGGUUCUUCAUCAUGUAAUCUAUUUUGGUUUCCUUCACUCUGAUUUCACUGGUUUUUUCUUCAUGCUAUUGGUGACAAUGUCACAAAAUUAAUGAAGUUAAGGAGGUGGAUUAAGCUAUCAUCUGCCUUUCAAGUUGAUUUCACUAAUUUUACUGUUUUUGAUUGUUUUUACUUUCUAUGGCAUAUAAUUCCAAUGACACAAUGGAGUGAAUACAUUAUUAUUCCCUGUCUUACUGAAACUCCAAUUAUUAUGCUGCAGGGGAUUGAAAUGCAUAUGAGUUCUGGUUUUGAGAAGCCAGAGGAGGUCAAAUUUGCAGUUCCUUUAAUGGACAUGAACAUAAAUAAAAUGAUACUUGCAUGUCCCUGGAGGAAUCCACAAAAGAUAUACUUACAGGUUGUUUAUCCUGUUGGUAGAAAGUAUGUAUCUGCUCCUUCAGCACCUCGUCUGAAAUUAAUGUCUACUUCUGAGUUGAAAGCUCUAUUUUCCAUUGAUGAUGUCAAACUUCCUCCAUGGUUGGAUGGAAUGUGCAUGGCUGAAUACCUUCCCCAUCUAGAAGAACUCCUUCAGAGACAGGUCUCAGAGGCAGUUUCCUUAAUUGAUGUCAGGAGGCUCUUUAUCGAGGCUUUAGUCCCACUGUUUGGAAGACCAUUAGAAGCUGAUCCAGUAUGCCUGCUUGGCCCUUUUAUGAAUGCAAUCAUUUAAUCCAUCAAGGCUGGCUACUAUUCAUUUUGCUUUUUCACUUGCUAGGUUUUUUGCAGAAAAGCUACAUUUCUUGCUACCUCUGGUCCAGUUACUCUCCUGGUACCAUAUGAUUUUCACUGCAUCUUGUUAUUUGGGCACAUUAUUGAUUUUCAGUUUCACUUGGAACUCUGUACUAUUAAUUUUGUGAUCUUUGGUUUUAGAAGUAGAAGGCUUUAGAUUGUUUUAAACAUGACUAAUUGGUUGGAGGUUUUCCAAAAGAAGUGUAUAGGCAAAAGAAAGAAGGGGUUCUCACUUCAUGUCCUUCAGUGUUAUUGGUCAUGUUAUUAAAUCUACUUGUUACAUCAUAUAAUCUUGCAGGAUUUUUUUUUUGGUGCUGUUUUAUUUGUCCUUUAUUUUGACUGCAUUGUUUCUUUUGGAGUAAUUUUGAAUUCCUAAAACUGCAGGUACAUUUUUUCCUCUCAACUCAGUUUCCAAAACAGCAGCCGUCUAUGAUGCUUCAAAGUACUCAGGUGCUGAUAUUUAUUACUUCCAAUCUAAAAUUUUGUGGUGCUUUCAUUAAUCAAUGCAUGCCACUAAUCAAGAAUGCCCAUAUCAAAUUGGACCAUAUUCUUUUGUAUAUUUUUUGUUGUUUGAUGUCCUAUGCUUUUGACCAGAAAGGGGUUGAUAAACUAUAUGUCUACACAAAUUUAGAAUUGCUUUCCUUUUGUGGAGGCUGAUGCUGAUGUAGCACUUGAUUAUCAUAAUUUUUUUUUAAAAUUUUCUUUUACUACUUAUAUCUGAUGGGUCAGAACAAAAGGAAGUGUGGUUUCUAGAUUUUGUGCUUCACAAGAUAAUUCUCUUGGUAUCGCAUAGAACGUUUCCACUAAAAUUAUCUGCUGUUUUUAGAUCACUAAUAAUAAGCAUAGAAAACCUAUUGUUUUGCAAAGGAUCUCCAUAAGAUGUCUUGGUAUGCUUCUUCUUGUUGGUUGAAUUUUAUGUUAAGAAUGUUGGUGGUGAUUAAUCAGUUGAUGAUCUGGUGUACUAUCAAUGGCAAUUAACCUUGAAAACCUAAUGUUGUUUAUUUUUCUAAUAACCAUCUGCUUUAUACUUUUAAGACAUAAAUCUUCAAAGGGUUUGCAUAGAAAUCCUUUACUGAU
rnacentral:misc_RNA from 1 species